AUUGAACGCUGGCGGAAUGCUUUACACAUGCAAGUCGAACGGCAGCACGGACUUCGGUCUGGUGGCGAGUGGCGAACGGGUGAGUAAUGUAUCGGAACGUGCCCAGUCGUGGGGGAUAACGUAGUGAAAAUUACGCUAAUACCGCAUACGAUCUAUGGAUGAAAGCGGGGGAUCGCAAGACCUCGCGCGAUUGGAGCGGCCGAUAUCAGAUUAGGUAGUUGGUGGGGUAAAGGCCCACCAAGCCAACGCUCGGUAGCUGGUCUGCGAGGACGAACAGACAAACUGGAACUGAGACACGGUCCAGACUCCUACGGGAGGCAGCAGUGGGGAAUUUUGGACAAUGGGCGAAAGCCUGAUCCAGCCAUUCCGCGUGAAGGAUGAAGGCCCUCGGGUUGUAAACUGCUUUUGUACAGAACGAAAAGGUUUCUACUAAUACUAGGAGCUCAUGACGGUACUGUAAGAAUAAGCACCGGCUAACUACGUGCCAGCCGCCGCAGUAA
rnacentral:rRNA from 1 species